rnacentral:rRNA from 1 species
UGCCAGCCGCCGCGGUAAGACGGAGGGUGCAAACGUUGUUCGGAAUCACUGGGCAUAAAGCGCACGUAGGCGGUCCGCUAAGUCAGAUGUGAAAUCCCUCGGCUCAACCGAGGAACUGCACCUGAUACUGGCGGACUCGAGGACGGUAGGGGUGAGUGGAACUCCAGGUGGAGCGGUGAAAUGCGUAGAUAUCUGGAGGAACACCGGUGGCGAAGGCGACUCACUGGACCGUAUCUGACCCUGAGGUGCCAAAGCUAGGGUAUCAAACCGGAUUAGAUA